rnacentral:rRNA from 1 species
CCUACGGGGGGCAGCAGUGGGGAAUAUUGCACAAUGGGGGAAACCCUGAUGCAGCGACGCCGCGUGAGCGAUGAAGUAUUUCGGUAUGUAAAGCUCUAUCAGCAGGGAAGAAAAUGACGGUACCUGACUAAGAAGCCCCGGCUAACUACGUGCCAGCAGCCGCGGUAAUACGUAGGGGGCAAGCGUUAUCCGGAUUUACUGGGUGUAAAGGGAGCGUAGACGGCUUGGCAAGCCAGCUGUGAAAGGCGGGGGCUCAACCCCAGGACUGCAUUUGAAACUGUCAUGCUAGAGUGUAGGAGAGGCAGGCGGAAUUCCUAGUGUAGCGGUGAAAUGCGUAGAUAUUAGGAGGAACACCAGUGGCGAAGGCGGCCUGCUGGACGAUGACUGACGUUGAGGCUCGAAAGCGUGGGGAGCAAACAGGAUUAGAUACCCGUGUAGUC